CUUCAAUUUAUUUGUCAUUUCUCUUAUAAAUUUUUUUGAAAUACUAUUUAUUCGAUUGAAUGAUUCAAUUUCUGAAGAAAAUUAACGUAGCCUUUUAAAAGUUUCAGGAACUCUAUUAGCAUUGAAGUUACGUGCUAAUAAUGAUAAAUAUCAAGAAUGGAUACGGUAAAUUUAUCGUGGUUUUUAAAUGGCAGCAAUGGAAAUUAUCCUUUUAAAAAUCUCUUUCAAAUAUAAAUUAUAACUGUGUGAUUUACUUUUUACAACUUGAUGUAAUUUUUUAAAAUUUCAGAAAUUACUGUGUUACUGAAGUUAUCUGAUAACAAUGAUAUGAUAAGAUAUGAUGUAAGACAUUACUGAAGUUCGUAAAUGGCAACGGAAAUUAUCCUGAUCCUAUCCAAGAUAGAUAUCGUGGUGGUCGACGAUUAAUCAAAACACGACACCGUUCACGAGGAGAACCGAUAUUCAAUUACCACAAAAUUAUCCUUACAUACUAAGAUCGUUGAGACCUGCUAACUGCAUUCCCAACUUCCUUCUACGAGUUACGCUAACGAUCGAGAGAAAUGGAUUAAUUCUUACACGGAAUUCUUGUCGAUUGAAAAAGAAUAAACUGCAAGAAUUACCGUGAAACUAACAGUAUUUAAAUAGAGAAUUUCUUUCUUUCAAUUAUACUGUAUAAUUUUUGAACUAAUUCUACUAGAUAUUCACUAGAGAAAUCAACUCAAACACUUUACACAUAAUCAAAUCAAAAUAAUUUCACUUAUAUGAAUAUUAAUAUAUAAAUCAAAAGUGUAUAAAAUAAGUCAAGUUGAACUUAAAAUUCAAGAAGAAAAGAAUCGGUAAUAGGUUUAUGCGGAUCGAAAUGGGUACCCGGGCACCGUCGCCAACGAGAGGAAAGAACGAGGCACCGAAGGCUCCAGGGCAACCACGACGAGUCUCCGAAUCCGAUGUGCGCUCCAGCCCGAUCAAUAACACGGGGCGUGCACCACACCGAGCCACCCUCUUCCUUCUUGCCAGCCAGGGGUCCUCGUUUGGUACCCCGGCUGACCUUUGAAAUUACCGAUCUAUCGUAUAUGUACAAUCGUUUCACAUUUUAAUCUUUAUUUUCUUUUCCUUCUACUUGUUAUAUAUUUCACUUGAAAAUAUAUAUUAUUCAUAUCUUUAGGAACAGUAGAGUAACUUGGAAUUUUCUUGUUGAGAGACAACGCCCUCUUAGAUUCUGGAAACAUUGUUAUUCAUUCUAAGGGAAGAAUUUAUUUUGAGAGUAAGCACGACGCCACACGAUAUUCGAAGGGUCGAAUGCCGUUCGAGGACCGUUUCACUGUCGGCGACCCGUAUUUACGUACGAAGUGGCUGCCACUCGAUCCCGAAAUAAGUCCUCGCGCGCAGGCUGCGCACCCUAAUUCACUGGCCAGGCGCUGAUAUGCGCGUUAACGCCGCCAAUGGUUUUAAGCCCGAUGCUCGCACGCCUCGAAAUAGAGAUUAAAAAGCGACGCACGCAUGAGAAACGGGAGAAAAAUGACGAGCUGUGCACCAUUAUCGGGGGAUACGCGGUUGGCAAAGUUCGAAAUCCCCGCCUUUUCUCAGGUCGGAUAAAAACCAAUUUGUCAUUGGUUAUCGGAAGGAGGAAUAUUUUCGAAAGUAACGCGUAGAUAAUUUUCUUGGGAACGGUGGGAAUAUUUUUGAAUUAUGAAAGUGGAAAGUGGUUUAACACGUUCUCCACGUAUAAGAAAUAGUCGAUUAUUUGAAGUUGACAAUGGUUUAUGGAAAUAACGAAAAAAUGAGGGGAAAAUAUGGUGUUUUCACAGCUGGAAAGAUAAAUGAUUUACACCGAUAGAUCGAUAAUGGAAUACCGUGACCUAGAAAACUUUUCCAAAGAGUUGAUCAGUCGUUUCGCGAUAUCACUACGAAACCACGUUGCGACUUCCGUUUCCUGUUUUCCAAUACGAUAAAGGCGUCCUGUCUUUGCGCGUUUUGCGUGUUAACGAAACAAGUUUGAUAAGAACUUUUGUUACAACAUCAAUCAUAAAUCACCAAUUUUUUCUUAUAUUUUUACAACUAUUCUUUCUUAUAGAUUAUAACAAUUCAAUGUCAUCUUUGUAUUAAGAUUAAUAAUAAAAAAAUAAUUUUUAACUUUUUA